rnacentral:rRNA from 1 species
ACGGAAGGCAGCAGUGGGGAAUAUUGCGCAAUGGGCGGAAGCCUGACGCAGCGACGCCGCGUGGGGGAUGACGGCCUUCGGGUUGUAAACCUCUUUCAGCAGGGACGAAGCCGGAAGGUGACGGUACCUGCAGAAGAAGCACCGGCCAACUACGUGCCAGCAGCCGCGGUAAUACGUAGGGUGCAAGCGUUGUCCGGAAUUAUUGGGCGUAAAGAGCUCGUAGGCGGUUGGUCGCGUCGGCUGUGAAAACCCGGAGCUCAACUCCGGGCCUGCAGUCGAUACGGGCCGACUUGAGUGUUGCAGGGGAGACUGGAAUUCCUGGUGUAGCGGUGAAAUGCGCAGAUAUCAGGAGGAACACCGGUGGCGAAGGCGGGUCUCUGGGCAACAACUGACGCUGAGGAGCGAAAGCGUGGGGAGCGAACAGGAUUAGAUACCCUGGUA